rnacentral:rRNA from 1 species
UACGGGGGGAGCAAGCGUUGUUCGGAUUUACUGGGCGUAAAAGGGCGCGUAGGCGGCCACCGCAAGUCGACUGUGAAAUCUCCGGGCUUAACCCGGAAAGGUCAGCCGAUACUGCGGGGCUAGAGUGCAGAAGGGGCAACUGGAAUUCUCGGUGUAGCGGUGGAAAUGCGUAGAUAUCGAGAGGAACACCUGCGGCGAAGGCGGGUGCUGGGCUGACACUGACGCUGAGGCGCGAAAGCUAGGGGAGCGAACGGG